AAACAGCAAGAAUAUUCAUAUUUUUGGCAGCACACUCACGAAAGUAGCAGCCAUAUAUUAUAAUUUUGGGGAGCAUAUUUCGAGAGAUGCACAAGACAUUGAAAGGGGGAAUCACUAAAAAAAACAUCAUCAUCUAUCAUCGAUUAUUGAAGGCAGCCGUAUACCUUUUUUUUGGCUCUCCAACAUCAUAAGUUUCCUACACCUAAUCAAAUCGAUCUUGACGGCAGACGGCAGUAAAAGGGUUUUUCAACCGGGUAUCAAGCGAGUGAAGAUCAUUCAACCGAGAUGAGCGGCUAAAUUUCUCGUGGACACUUCGGGUGAAUGAUUCUUGUGUUAAAGUGUUCAAGAUGAGGAUUUUAGGAGGCAUAAAUGAAUGCUAGAAGUUGGUGGAGUCAAAGAGUGAAAGAAGUGAACCAUUGGUGAAGAAAUAAGAAAAAAAAUAAAGUUCAGAGCCGUAACCUACGCCAUCUGGCCGUAGGUUACGGUACCACCUCUCUCAGAUUGUCACCACCGUAAAUCAGAAGCUCAUAGCCGUAAGAUUCAUGAUUGGCACCGUAGCCUACGGCUGGUGCCGUAGGUUACGGCAUCACAUGUUGACUUUUGGACAUCUUUCACAUGCAGCCGAUUAGGCAGCUUGUAGGCAACUUGUUUGGGUAUUAUUAUUAAUAAUGGGCUGCUUGUUGGACUUCACGUGCACAUGCGGGCAGUGGACAGUUGGACGGCACAUGUAGGAUGAAUGGAUUAUUAUGUCAACAUAUACAAUUCUCAUCAUCAACACUUGUGAUGAUUAUUAUACCACAUCAUCAUCAUCAUCAUCUCACGUAGAAAAGGAAGUGUCACGUGAAUUUUGGAUGGCAACAUGGAGGGUUUCUAAAAGAAAGUCAAAUCACUCAUCAUUAUUAUAAGCAGCCAUAUUGAGGGAGAUGUACACGAAGAAUUGGAAGGCACAUGUGAACAAAACAAGCAUCAGCAUUAAUUGAUAUCAUCAUGAGAAAAGAUGUAACUUAUUACAUUUAAUGUUUUUUUUUAUGGAGUUUGGAGGAGGUCUUUUCACUGGUCGGUCGGUUACACAUUAUUCUCUUGACACAUCACUUAGGAACCUCACCGGGGAACGACUUUUGCACGGAGGUGAACAGCAAGUUUGGAGACUUUUUGGGAAGAAAAACAUUAUCUUUUCAUCUAGUUUUUGUUGCUUUGAUUUGGAUGAACAAUAAUAUUCUGAUGAGGUUUGUUCAAGCCAUGAGCGGCUAAAUCAUACGUGGCCUCCUCCAGACAGAUGGUUCAGUUAGGUUUUAUUUCUUUCCAGUUUUAUUCAUGUUUGGAAUUACUUUUGGAUUGACAAACCUUUAUAAGUAAUUUGAUGUGUUGAUUUUGUUUGAACUA